rnacentral:ncRNA from 2 species
UACAUUUGCGCCGAUUUUGGUUUUGCAUUCAAUAUUGUUUUGAUGCAAAUUAAAAGGGAAGUUGGUGUAAAACCAACGCUGUACCCGCAACUGUAAGCUAUAAAGCUUGUAACUAAUUCUUUAACCACUGUUUAAAACGGGAAGGUUUUGUUACAAGACGCAAGCCAGGAGACCUGCCAAAAAUCAAACAAAAAG